rnacentral:rRNA from 1 species
UACGGAGGAGGCAAGCGUUAUCCGGAAUUAUUGGGCGUAAAGCGUCCGCAGGUGGCCCUUCAAGUCUGUCGUCAAAGACUGGGGCUUAACCCCGGAAAGGCGGUGGAAACUGAAGCGCUAGAGUGCGGUAGGGGUAGAGGGAAUUCCCGGUGUAGCGGUGAAAUGCGUAGAUAUCUGGAGGAACACCGGUGGCGAAGGCGGCAUCCUGGACCGACACUGACGCUGAGGAGCGAAAGCCAGGGGAGCAAACGGG